UGGGAGAGCCAUCACUGGAGAGGUGGCAUUGGCACCAGUACCCAGGCCAGAAGCCCCUUGUGCCCUGCUCUCAGAACACAAGCCCCAGACCAGGAAGGUACCUUGCUAAAGAAGGGGACCCGAAACCGCAGCUACCAGCGCCGGUGGUUCAUCCUCUGAGGAAACCUCCUCUUCUACCUAUAACACUAGACCGACCAUGCACCCCUGGGCCUCAUCCUGUUAAGAGAACUGCCAGGUGGAGCCACACCUUAAGGCCGCAGAACCCUAUGCCUUUACCAUCCUGACCCCUGGUGUGGAGGGCACAGGUGGGCGGGCCUACAAGCUGGCUGCAGAAACCCAGGAAGAGCUGGAGACUUGGCUGUGGGCACUGGCUGGCGUGAGCUGGAGGUGGCUGGCUGGGCUGCUGCCCCCGCCCAACCAAGACCCAAUACUGGGAGCUGUGCCAGGCAGCUGGCCAAGAGCCCAUCUCAUCCCCAGAGGACAGUGGCUUUCUAGCCACUGUGAGUACCCCCUCCAGCUUCCAGAAGUUGCAUGAGCACUUUGGGAAGGAGAUCCGGGUGCUGCAGGUGGUACAGAGAGCUCCAGGCAGCCAGUGACAAUGGAGACAGCAGAUCCCAGGCAAAGAUGGAGUAGGAGCUCAACCAGUGUCUGAUGAGUGAUUAAGAGAUGGAUCCAAAGCCAAGAGGUACCUACUUGCCAAGACAGCAGGCUGCUUCAACAGAGACCCAGGUCCUGGCUCUGUCCCUCCCUCCUUCGUCCUUACCCCAUCCCCCCCCCUCAUCAAAUAACAAGGUAGGAGACAGGCCCA